CUUUUCAAAUUAGAGUUUUCUCUGAAUAUGUCCAGGAGUGGGAUUGCUAGAUCACACGGUAGUUCUAUUUUCAGUUUUUUGGGGACCCUCCAUACUGUUUUCCUUGUGGCUGCACCAAUUUAGAUAUAUACCAACAGAGUGGAGGGGGUUCCCUGUUCUCCUAAAGUGUAAUCAUUUUCAAUUUCAAUCAUAUUUCAAAAUUUAAUUCUGGAGGAAUCUUAAGAGGUCAUCAUUCUGGGCUAAGCGGUUUUCCAGUAGAAUUUUUUGUGAAGAUGGAAAUGUUUAUUUUGCACUGUUUGACAGAUGUUUAUUUUGCACUGUUUGAAAUGUGACAAGUGUGACCAAGGAACUGAAUUUUAAAUUAUAUUUAAUUUUAAUUAAUUAAAAGUUAGAUUUAAGUGACCACAUGUGACUAGUGUCUACUGUAUUGAACAAUUCAGUUCUAUCUUUACAGACUUUAAGUCUCAAAUAAUCACUAAGCUACUUUUUUUUCUUUUGGGGCUUUUUUCCAUAAAAAAAUAAGAAUAGAAAUAUUGAAAUAAAUACAGGUUUCUCCACCUUAGAUUACCUAUUUUAUCAAAUAGAAUAAUUUAAAGGAGAAAACCAGCCCUGCCUUUUGAUUCCUAAAUGAUCCUAGGUGAUGGCAUUUUUGUAUUAUUAACAUGGAGGGAGUGUUCCUUUAGGGACCUUCCAUGGCAUGUAUUUAGUAGAGAUGUAGAGUUCACCGCACAUUUUCACUCUCUCUCUCUUUUUUUCCCCCAGAAAGAAUAUCUUGUAUUAUUAUCAUUCUCGUGUUAGGGAAGGGGAGGUUGAGCUACAGUGACCUGCCAGAUAUGACAGCAUGAAUAGGAGGGGCUCUGGCUCAUUUCAAACAAAACAUUUCCUAAGGACUCAUUGCUUGUGGCAGGUACUGUGUUAUGUGUGAAAGAUUCAGAGAGGAAUAAAAUAAAGCUCUCCUGUCUUGGAUAUGCUGGGUGCUCUCCCCUCUGGCAGGAGAUUGGAGGCAGGGAGAAGAAUGAUGCUGGCGGGAAUGGUCACACACCUCCUCUCUAGGAGACUACUUAGUAACACUUCUCUCCAUUUGGGUGUCAGCAGCCCAUCCCCCGCUUCUAAGCCUGUUGGAGUCCCCAUCCCACUGGCUUGCACUUUCUUUAAAGUGUGUCUGCAUUCUGACUUAUCUUCAAAUCUCACCCCUUUAAAUAUAAAUCCUCCUUCCUGAAUUAUCUGGUGAAUGCGAUCUGAUUCUUAUUGGGACUCCUAAUUGACCUGUUUCUGAUGGUACAUCUCCUCUCUUCUUGGGUUGAGUGGAGCCUUACAACAGGCACACAGAGAAUAGCAGUACUGGGGCCUCUUUUCUUGACCACUGGCUGAUACAUGGAGUAGAUUCCAGUACUCCAGAUGCCCAGCAUGCUGGGGGCCUCAACCCCAUCGCAGAUGAUGCUUCAGUGCUGAGCUGUGGGUUUAAACUGAAGGCAUUCCUUGGCAAAUUAUUCCAUUAUGGUAUACCUAAAAGAAGAAAUAUUUACAUUUAUCAAUGAUUCAAUAAUAAAUUCUGCUAACAGGUAUAACUUUAUUUCUUGACCAAUCAUAAAGAUUUCAUUGAUAGGGUCAAUAAAUGAUUUUGUGAAUGACAAAAUUUUGAUUAUUCUUAAGUUAUGAUGCACUAUAAAUACAUAUCAGAAAUGAACAGAUGUAUUAAUUAAGAGGUCACAGCAUUAACAUUAUUUAAUAUACUAUAUGUGAGAUCACAUAAUUAUAUCUUAACACAGAUUUAUGAAUCUUCACUCAGUUUAUCAUAAGGAAACAAUUUUAGUAUUUCAAAUAAUGUAACUGAGGCAGCUGCCUAUUUCAUCCUGAAUGAUUACUAGAAUAUCUAUUAUGUGCCAGACACUGUGGCAGGUACUAGGAUUAAGGUAGUAAACACAUAGACACUGUCUGUCUUUGUGGAAUUUAUACUUUAUUGCAUAAGCUAUAUGCCAAAAGAAUAAUUUGCAAAUAAUUUAUUGAAAUUGUUGCAUAGUUAUAUAGUGUUUGUUUCUUUUUCCCCUUCCUCAUUCCACAUCCCUCCCCCAUCUGACCUGGAACCUGACUUGAGACCAAGAAAACAGGGUUUUGUGGAAAUUUGUCUCAAGGAGGAGACAUAUUCUGUAGCAUAGUGAAGUGCAGGAGAUACUUAAUCUUGGUAGUAUGAAGAACAUAAUGGCUUUAUACGGAGACUUAAAAGACUGAUCUCAGGGAAAAUUGUUUUCCUUUCUCCGCUCAGUGAUGAAAAUCUCUGGCAUGAUUUGGUAGCACAACAUAAAGGAUCUGAACAAGAAGAGGGCUGGUGACAGACUCUGGGGAUCUGGUUGAAGGAGGUGAGAGUGGAGAAAACAGACAAAAAGAGAGAGAUGCUGUGGGAGGAAGGAAAUAGAAGAGGGCCCUUGGCCAAGACAUUUCUGCUUACAUUUCAGUUGCCCAUAUGGGAAUGCCAUGAAUAUCUGGAGCAGCUGGGUUUGGAACCAGCUUUCAAGACAGUCCUAAUGAUAAUAGCCCCUGGUAUUCACAUCCUUAUGUGGUCUCCCAUGCUGGAAAAGCCUGGCUUGUGUAACCAGUAGGAUCUUAUACAAGUGAUUGUAUCUUUUGAGUCUAGGUUAUAAAAAAUAGAUGGCUUCUGCCCUGCUUCCUCGGACCACUCAGUCUGGCGGAGGCCAGCUGCCAUAUUGCGAGGAUUCUCAAGCAUCUCUAUGGGGAGGCCAUGAGGGAGAAACUGAGGCCAUGUGGGUGAACAGGCUUGGAGGUGGAUCUUCUGGCUUCAGUCAAGCCUUCAAAUGACUACAGCCUGGGAUGGUAUCUUGCCUGCAACCUCAUAAGAUCCUGAGCCAGAAUCACUGGCUGAACUUCUGAAUUACUGACCUCAGGAAACUUGCCACUGAACUGGGGGAAGACUGUCUCUGACUGCUGAACGGGCCUCAUCUUGGAAGCUGCAGUUCUUAUAGAUUCUCUGCGACUCAAGAUUUGUCAUCCCUCAAGCCCCUAGCCCUGGAAUCACCUCAUCCUUCACCUAAUGGCCUUAUAUGAGUGCCACUGGCUUCAGAGCAUAUGCAGAUGCUUGAAUAUUUUUUAUAACUCAUGGAGCCAAAGGACUCUCUGGGGACGGGUAUUUCCUUUGACCCUCUUCUGCUCAGAUGUUCUUCACGCAAUUUGUUUGCUGUAGCUUUUCCAUAUCGGUGAAGAUGAUUUUCCUUUAGAACUCUAGAGGACCUCUUUAAAUCCACCCUCUUCUUCCUGAUGCAGUAAAUCUCAAGGCUAAUACCUCAUGGCUGAGCAGUGGUAAGGGGACAUGAUUUACAGGGACAUGGUCCGUAUUUUGGUUUAAUAUUUCCAAACCAAUUUCCUCUUUAUGCAAAUCAUCCAAUAACAAAUUAAAAAAAAAAGAUAGACUAUCAGAGAAUAUUCAGGUUUUACUAACAAUAUUUCCAUGGGUGUUGGAACUAGAUGAAAUUUCAGGGAUAAUAUUGGGAAAAUUGACUACAGGGGAAGUCAGAGGAUAGAGCAAAUGGUAGGGUAUUUAAAUGAGAUACCAGGAUCCUGCUGACCACCUCUAUGCAAAAGGCAAUCAUCAUAGGUUAUUUCAUAUAAUGCUUUCCAUUAACCUUGUAACUUAGAUUUUUUUUUAGUCUUUCUUCAUAUGUGAAGAACCAGAGAGUAAAGUUACAGCUAAAUGUGGCAAAGACAGUGUAACUCUCAAAUGACUAUUUGUGAAUUCCAAAACUGUGUCUAUUUUAUCAAAUUCUUCUAUAGGUUCUAGAAAAGACCCAAGGCUCAUGCCUGCAGAAACUACAGGCAGUCUGUAUUCUACCCUACCAGCACCAAUGCCAAGGAGUAAAAUAGGCUGUUGGGCCCUUUGUGAUUUUUUUCCCAUUUAAGUUAUGCCUGUUCGCAUCUAUUUUUCUGAUUAAAAUCUUGUAGAUAGACACAUAGAUAGGGAGACUAUUACUGAGUGCUACAUGCCUCUAGGGGGAAAAACUGGUGAGAUACCGUUUAGGUUUUAUGAAGGAGAUAGCUAUAAAUGUACAUUGGUGUUUUGGGAGAAACAAAGUAAAAACAUUUUAGCAAAGUGUAUCUUGGAUGUUUGAAAAUAUGGUGCUACAAAAACUUAAAUUGAGCUCAAUAGUUCUUGAGACUUUGAUCUAAAUCAAAAGGAUUUUGGACAGCUUAUGGAUUUUUUGCUUCCCCGAAACUGUUGGAAGCCAUAGAUUUGAAAAGGAAUUUCACACAGAUAUGAUUAUCACAGCACCAAUAAACUGUUAUCUCUGUAGAACAGAAGUAGGCAAGUCAGUGUUUUGUGGGACCAGGUUUCUCAGCCAUGGAGAUUUCAGGGGCUGGUGUGGGAAAGACAAACUGAAAACGUGCAAUAUUAUGCAUAUUAAAGGGCUCAUGAUGAAAUCUUACCAACAUAAACUUUAUCAGGUCACUUUAAUGUAAAUAAGAUGAUUUUAUAUUGAAAGUCAUGGGAAAGGGAACUUUUGCUCUUUCUUUACCAAUUUUAAUUUAAUAAGAAAUUAUAGCUAUGACAAUUCAAAUGAAGUAGUUGUGUCCGCAUUUUCCAUAUUGUACCUCUUCAGUGAAGUAUUUUAAAACAUGCCUUUCCAAAUUAUGUUACUUUUAUUUAUUUUACAAUUUUGCAGUGUGUUAAUAUACAUUAUGAAAAGUACAUGCAAAUGGAAACUUAGAGCACAAGUAAAAUAAAAUAAAUAAUAUUUAAAAAUUAAAAACAAUUUUUACUUUUACUUAAAAUACUGGUAUUAUUACUAUUAGAAAUAUGGUUGAAUAUGUUCCAUUCUUUUUGAAAAAUUUGGUUUAACACUUUGUCAUCCAUUUAUUUGAAGGUUUAAAUCUAAGUUCAGUUUAUUUCACAACUCGCUUUUAAACAGUAAUAAAGAUACCUCACAAAGAUAAAUUGAAACGGAAGAAAUAUAUUUUUUCGCUGCAUUUAUUAAUCAUGAAUUCAUAAAAAAUCAUCUGCCAAUUUUAUAAGGUUUAAAUUAAAAAGUACUAAAUUUCCUCAUUCUUUGACAUUAAUACAUUUUUUUCUUUCUGACAUACCAAGUAAAAGAUGUUAUUCUACAUUAAAACAAAACUGUAAUGGAAUAUUCUCAGCCUUUUUAUUUGCAAAAAUUCAAAACAUUAGAAAAUUGUUUCUAGCAAAAAACCAAUCAAUCAAUGGAAAAAUGGGCAAAAGACCUGAAUAGACAUUUCUCCAAAGAAGAUAUACAGAUGGCCAACAAACACAUGAAAAAAUGCUCAACAUCGCUGAUUAUAAGG